UGUGAGACCCCUUUUCACAAUGAGGAUGAUAUGAAUUUUUGAAAUAAUUUAUGCCCAUCAUAAAGCAGCGAGAGGCAGUGGGAAAAUCCAAAGAGCAUGUGCAUGUGGCAAAUAACCAGAGAGAAAAGAAAAAAAAUCAGUCUGUGUUUUCAUAUCAGAACUUGUGAUUUAGGAUCAUAGGAAGGAUCAUGCUGCCCAGAAGAAACAGGGACUUGGUCUGAUAAUGCAAGUAAAAUUGGUAGGACUUAUAGUUGAGAUAACCAACCGUUUAUUUUCCUGAUAAUGCCAAAAUCUGUUUUGUUUAUGUCCCUGGUUAACCUUAGAUCAAACCAUAAAUCUUCUUCACAGUACAUCACUGUGCUCUGCAACACUGGUUUUAAAAUCUCCUCACUUUGUCCUCUCACAUUAUUAAAUUAGAUGUAAAUGUAA